rnacentral:rRNA from 1 species
UCCGUAGGGUGCAAGCGUUGUCCGGAAUUAUUGGGCGUAACGAGCUCGUAGGCGGUCUGUCGCGUCGGAUGUGAAAAUCCAGGGCUUAACCCUGGACCUGCAUUCGAUACGGGCAGACUAGAGUUCGGUAGGGGAGACUGGAAUUCCUGGUGUAGCGGUGAAAUGCGCAGAUAUCAGGAGGAACACCGGUGGCGAAGGCGGGUCUCUAGGCCGAUACUGACGCUGAGGAGCGAAAGCGUGGGGAGCGAACAGG